rnacentral:rRNA from 1 species
GAUCAUGGCUCAGGAUGAACGCUAGCUACAGGCCUAACACAUGCAAGUCAGGGGCAGCGGGAAGGAAGCUUGGCUUUCUUCGCCGGCGACCGGCGCACGGGUGCGUAACGCGUAUCGAACCUACCCUUUACUCGGGAACAGCCUUGCGAAAGCAAGAUUAAUGCCCGAUGUUCCGCGUUUGCCGCAUGGCAAAUUCGGCAAAGGUUUAGCGGUGAAGGAUGGGGGAUGCGUCUGAUUAGCUUGUUGGUGAGGUAACGGCUCACCAAGGCGACGAUCAGUAGGGGUUCUGAGAGGAAGGUCCCCCACAUUGGAACUGAGACACGGUCCAAACUCCUACGGGAGGCAGCAGUGAGGAACAUUGGUCAAUGGGCGAGAGCCUGAACCAGCCAAGUAGCGUGCAGGAUGACGGCCCUAUGGGUUGUAAACUGCUUUUAUAAGGGAAUAAAGUGAGCCUCGUGAGGCUUUUUGCAUGUACCUUAUGAAUAAGGACCGGCUAAUUCCGUG